rnacentral:lncRNA from 1 species
GGGGCUUAACAAAGGAAGGGUGAGGUCGUCCUCCGAAGGGCGGAGGGUACGGGCUGAACAGCUGGGCACCGAGGCUGCACCUGGCCAGUCCAAGCCAGAGGAAGGUGGAGGCCCCAGCUGGGCGCAGCAGGCAGGCGCGAGGCAGGUAGAGAAGGCAUUCGAAGCCCAGAGAGGUGAAGCAGUUCCCUCAAGGACACACAGCAAGGAAGCGGUUGCCCCAGGACUCAGCUCAGGUUUGUGUAACCCCAGGACCGUGUUCCUUGUCGUGGGCAGCGAGAGGCCCCAGGCAACAUAGCGACUCCAGAGCAGCAGCACCAGCACCUGACGAAGCUGAAGACCUCAGAAAACCUGAUCAACAUGAAAUAUGGUAUGAAGUAGUACUCAAUAAAGAGAAAACAUGAUGGACAGUAAGCAAGCCUGGAUCUGAGAGAGAUAUCAUCUUGCAAGGAUGCCUGCUUUACAAACAUCCUUGAAACAACAAUCCAGAAAAAAAAAGGUGUUGCUGUCUUUGCUCAGAAGACACACAGAUACGUGACAGAACCAUGGAGAAUUGCCUCCCAACACUGUUCAGCCAGAGCCUUCCACCCUUGUCUGCAGGACAGUCUCAACGUUCCACCAUUAAAUACUUCUUCUGUCACAUCCUGCUUAUUUAUGCCUAACCAAGGUUCUAGGUCCCGAUCGACUGUGUCUGGCAGCACUCCACUGCCAAACCCAGAAUAAGGCAGCGCUCAGGAUCCCGAAGGGGCAUGGCUGGGGAUCAGAACUUCUGGGUUUGAGUGAGGAGUGGGUCCACCCUCUUGAAUUUCAAAGGAGGAAGAGGCUGGAUGUGAAGGAACUGGGGGAGGGAAAGUGUCAGUUCCGAACUCUUAGGUCAAUGAGGGAGGAGACUGGUAAGGUCCCAGCUCCCGAGGUACUGAUGUGGGAAUGGCCUAAGAAUCUCAUAUCCUCAGGAAGAAGGUGCUGGAAUCCUGAGGGGUAGAGUUCUGGGUAUAUUUGUGGCUUAAGGCUCUUUGGCCCCUGAAGGGCAGAGGCUGGAACCAUUAGGUCCAGGGUUUGGGGUGAUAGUAAUGGGAUCUCUUGAUUCCUCAAGAGUCUGAGGAUCGAGGGUUGCCCAUUCUUCCAUCUUGCCACCUAAUCCUUACUCCACUUGAGGGUAUCACCAGCCCUUCUAGCUCCAUGAAGGUGCCCCUGGGCAAGCACAAUCUGAGCAUGAAAGAUGCCCCAGAGGCCUUGGGUGUCAUCCACUCAUCAUCCAGCAUCCACACUCUGAGGGUGUGGCCAGCACCAUGACGUCAUGUUGCUGUGACUAUCCCUGCAGCGUGCCUCUCCAGCCACCUGCCAACCGUAGAGCUGCCGACAUCCUCCUCUGGUGGGAGUGGCCUGCAUGGUGCCAGGCUGAGGCCUAGUGUCAGACAGGGAGCCUGGAAUCAUAGGGAUCCAGGACUCAAAAGUGCUAGAGAAUGGCCAUAUGUCACCAUCCAUGAAAUCUCAAGGGCUUCUGGGUGGAGGGCACAGGGACCUGAACUUAUGGGUUUUCCCCAAGUCUAUUGCUCUCCCAAGUGAGUCUCCCAGAUACGAGGCACUGUGCCAGCAUCAGCCUUAUCUCCACCACAUCUUGUAAAAGGGACUACCCAGGGCCCUGAUGAACACCAUGGUGUGUACAGGAGUAGGGGGUGGAGGCACGGACUCCUGUGAGGUCACAGCCAAGGGAGCAUCAUCAUGGGUGGGGAGGAGGCAAUGGACAGGCUUGAGAACGGGGAUGUGGUUGUAUUUGGUUUUCUUUGGUUAGAUAAAGUGCUGGGUAUAGGAUUGAGAGUGGAGUAUGAAGACCAGUUAGGAUGGAGGAUCAGAUUGGAGUUGGGUUAGAGAUGGGGUAAAAUUGUGCUUCGGAUGAGUUUGGGAUUGACACUGUGGAGGUGGUUUGGGAUGGCAUGGCUUUGGGAUGGAAAUAGAUUUGUUUUGAUGUUGGCUCAGACAUCCUUGGGGAUUGAACUGGGGAUGAAGCUGGGUUUGAUUUUGGAGGUAGAAGACGUGGAAGUAGCUGUCAGAUUUGACAGUGGCCAUGAGUUUUGUUUGAUGGGGAAUCAAACAAUGGGGGAAGACAUAAGGGUUGGCUUGUUAGGUUAAGUUGCGUUGGGUUGAUGGGGUCGGGGCUGUGUAUAAUGCAGUUGGAUUGGUUUGUAUUAAAUUGGGUUGGGUCAGGUUUUGGUUGAGGAUGAGUUGAGGAUAUGCUUGGGGACACCGGAUCCAUGAGGUUCUCACUGGAGUGGAGACAAACUUCCUUUCCAGGAUGAAUCCGGGGAAGCCUUAAUUCACGUGUAGGGGAGGUCAGGCCACUGGCUAAGUAUAUCCUUCCACUCCAGCUCUAAGAUGGUCUUAAAUUGUGAUUAUCUAUAUCCACCUCUGUCUCCCUCACUGUGCUUGGAGUUUACCUGAUCACUCAACUAGAAACAGGGG